AUUGAACGCUGGCGGCAUGCUUUACACAUGCAAGUCGAACGGUAACAGGCCGCAAGGUGCUGACGAGUGGCGAACGGGUGAGUAAUGCAUCGGAACGUGCCCAGUCGUGGGGGAUAACGCAGCGAAAGCUGUGCUAAUACCGCAUACGAUCUGUGGAUGAAAGCGGGGGACCGUAAGGCCUCGCGCGAUUGGAGCGGCCGAUGUCAGAUUAGGUAGUUGGUGGGGUAAAGGCUCACCAAGCCGACGAUCUGUAGCUGGUCUGAGAGGACGACCAGCCACACUGAGGCUGAGCCACGCCCCAGACUCCGACGGGAGGCAGCAGUGGGGAAUUUUGGACAAUGGGCGCAAGCCUGAUCCAGCAAUGCCGCGUGCAGGAAGAAGGCCUUCGGGUUGUAAACUGCUUUUGUACGGAGCGAAAAGGCUCUCUCUAAUACAGGGGGCUCAUGACGGUACCGUAAGAAUAAGCACCGGCUAACUACGUGCCAGCCGCCGCCGUAACAC
rnacentral:rRNA from 1 species